rnacentral:sRNA from 1 species
UGAUAGUUGCCAACCUUGGCUCUUGAAAUACCCGGGGAGUGGGGCCUCCAGCAAAGCACAAACAACAUCAUUUUAUUGUUCUUUUUACUACAACCGCAGUCUGUUUGCUUUCCCGCGUAAAAUUCCGCACCCUCUUUGUAUCUCAGUUUGCAAUUGGCAGUCAAGUUUUCGUUUCUGGCUCUCAUACGCUGCGAUCUUUCCCUUGAACGGGGCCAAGGAUAAAUGUGAAAAGCCACCAUUUCGAGACUCCGGGGUGCAAAAAAAAGAAAAAGAAAAAGAAAAAGAAAAGAAAAGAAAAAACAA